rnacentral:rRNA from 1 species
CCUACGGGUGGCAGCAGUGGGGAAUAUUGCACAAUGGGGGAAACCCUGAUGCAGCGACGCCGCGUGAAGGAAGAAGUAUUUCGGUAUGUAAACUUCUAUCAGCAGGGAAGAACGGUCACUGUGCUAAUCAGCAGUGAAUUGACGGUACCUGCAAAGGAAGCACCGGCUAACUCCGUGCCAGCAGCCGCGGUAAUACGGAGGGUGCGAGCGUUAUCCGGAUUUAUUGGGUUUAAAGGGUGCGCAGGCGGCCUGUUAAGUCAGCGGUAAAAGCCCGGGGCUCAACCCCGGCGAGCCGUUGAAACUGGCGGGCUGGAGUUGGAGAGAAGUACGCGGAAUGCGCGGUGUAGCGGUGAAAUGCUUAGAUAUCGCGCAGAACCCCGAUUGCGAAGGCAGCGUACCGGCUCCACACUGACGCUGAGGCACGAAAGCGUGGGUAUCGAACAGGAUUAGAUACCCUGGUAGUC